rnacentral:rRNA from 1 species
CCGGCGCACGGGUGAGUAACACGUAUCCAACCUGCCGUCCACUCUUGGCCAGCCUUCUGAAAGGAAGAUUAAUCCAGGAUGGGAUCAUGAGUUCACAUGUCCGCAUGAUUAAAGGUAUUUUCCGGUAGACGAUGGGGAUGCGUUCCAUUAGAUAGUAGGCGGGGUAACGGCCCACCUAGUCAACGAUGGAUAGGGGUUCUGAGAGGAAGGUCCCCCACAUUGGAACUGAGACACGGUCCAA